rnacentral:rRNA from 1 species
GAUGAACGCUGGCGGCGUGCUUAACACAUGCAAGUCGAGCGGUGAAGCAGGAGCUUGCUCUUGUGGAUCAGUGGCGAACGGGUGAGUAACACGUGAGCAACCUGCCCCUGACUCUGGGAUAAGCGCUGGAAACGGCGUCUAAUACUGGAUAUGUGAUGUGACCGCAUGGUCUGCAUCUGGAAAGAAUUUCGGUUGGGGAUGGGCUCGCGGCCUAUCAGCUUGUUGGUGAGGUAAUGGCUCACCAAGGCGUCGACGGGUAGCCGGCCUGAGAGGGUAACAGGCCACACUGGGAGUGAGACACGGCCCAGAAUCCGACGGGAGGAAGCGGGGGGGAAUAUUGCACAAUGGGCGGAAGCCUGAUGCACCAACGCCGCGUGAGGGAUGACGGCCUUCGGGUUGUAAACCUCUUUUAGCAGGGAAGAAGCGAAAGUGACGGUACCUGCAGAAAAAGCACCGGCUAACUACGUGCCAGCAGCCGCCGUAA